AUGUUUCACAGUAUUAGUGAAAGGGAUGUGCUUGCUUUACUACUGGAAAUAGCCAUUAGCAUCUUUAAAUCUAAUAAGAUUACAGAGCCAAUUCCAGAAACUUCAGAAUCAACCAAAAUUUCAUACUUAAAAUUCUGCUUCUCUACACCACUUUCAGUACCAAAACCUACACUAUUCAGGUUUCCCCACAGCCAACAGUGUGUGUGUGUGUGUGUGUGUGUGUGUGUGUAUAAUAUAGAGUCAAGUAAGGUACUAGACAAUUAGUCUUGAAGGGAAAGAGUUGUACCUCCUGCGUAACCUCAACAAACUUUUGCUAAAAUAGCUGGAAUUCCUGAAAUUUGAGAUUUAGCUAUAUUAACAACUCCUCUUUGAAGAUUCAAACCCUCUGCAAGUAUAACCCAGGUGGGAAUCAUUGUGAAAUUAAUAUCAGAUUGUUUUCUUCCUAUGACAACUUUGUAGGAAAUGGCCUUCCAAUGGCCUAAGGUCAGAAGUGGUAAAGGUUAAAUGGGACCAUAUAGAACUAGAGUAGAAAACAAGCUUAGGUUGGGCCUUACGUUGAGAGGUAGUAGAACAUCAGAGAGCUGCAAAUGUCACUGAGGAAAGAUUGUGAAGAGCAGAGGAAAGGUCGGAGAUGAGAUUCUUUUACAUGCAAUUCUUCCUUAAUUAUGCAUUGGCUGUAGUGAAUUAGAGAAGUAUUUCCCUAGAAAGGUUUUUAAACAGUUUCCUAGGCCACCCCUCCAGAGAGUUUGAUUUUGUAGAUCUGGAAUGGGCCAUGGGAUUUGCAUUUUUAACAAUACCCUAAGAGGUACAGAUGCUGAGAGCAACCACACUUUGAGUACCAGUGAAUUAGAACAUGGGAAGAAACCUUCAGAACUGUGGUUCUCAAACCUGGAUGCACAUUAGAAUCACCUGGGAAGCAUAAGACCUAUCCCCAGGCUGCUUCCUCAGAUUUUAUGAUUUAAUUGGUCAUGCUGCGUAAAGGGAAUCAACACUUUUUAACCUCACAUGUUUAUCACGUGCACCAAGUUUAAAACCUACUCAAAAGGACAACACAAGAAGGUCUAACCCAGGGAAUGUAAGUGACAGACACUGGCUCUGUUAGAGAGAGGCUAGCUGUAGAGUGCUCGUGGGGGUAAGGAACCAUUCUUUGUUCUGGCUGAUUAUUUCUGUGGGGGUAGGCAGACCUUGUGGUGAUCUUCACAUUAUUUUGAAAGAAGACAGAAAUCCAGUAAGUUGAGAAAUCUCUAAAUCUUAAAGUUUCAACAAAUGUUUCAAAUAAGUUUUAAAAUAAUGUGUGAAUGAAAGACAAAAUGUUCAGGACUAAAUAUAGCCCACAGGACAUAGUUUGUAAACUUUUGCUUCAGAGAAUUUUCAAGCAAAUGGCCUAUUAGUUUUAAUUAGUGUCCAAAGAUGGUAUGGGUUUUUCAUGCAGAAUGGCAUAGAGUACUAGAAAACAAAUCUGAGAUAUAACUAGGUUGAGAGAAUGACCUUUUCUUUAAUGCUGAUAGAAGGCAGUAACCCAGAUGUAAGUGGCUUGAAAACUUUAAAUAGCUACACAAAUAAAAGAAACUAUUAUUGUUUUGAAAUAGUAAGCUUUACAAUUUGGAAAGGAAGUUCCUUUAAAAUAAAAUGUACUGUCACAAUGAUUUGGGUUCUAACAAUUUUGUCUCACUGAUAUAGAUAAAGCUUUAUAAAAUUAGGUCAUUCAACAUCUAAUGUGCCUUUAUAUUUAUCUGAUAAUUUAGAUCGUGCUCCAACUGUAGGACUUUUUUUGUCCCCCAGCUAAUCAAUUCAUGGAUAAUGUGCCCUAAAAUGUUAUACAUUUUAUACCUAUAAAAAUUUCAUGCUGUGUGUGUUUAAAACUAAAUUUGCAGUGCUAUAAACUAUGAUAACUCAACUAAAAUAUUAUUAAAAUUAAAUAUGUAAAGUUAAACAGAAUUCUAAACAAAACAUUUUGUUUAUACUGUUAGAGCAUCUGUUAGUCUAACAGACCCUUCUGUGUAAUUAUUGAUGAGGUCUAUAUAACAGCUCUCUUACCACUAAAUUAACUGAAUUAAAAAAUACAGCAAAUCUGUAAUUGAAAUAUGUUUCAGAACUUUCACACACAUGUGAUGCAAAAUGGAUGCAUCAUUCAAAUGUAAAGCAUGAAAAUGGAGAUGAUUCAGGAGUCAUUCCAUACCAUAAUAUAUACAUUUAAAAUAUCUUCUUUCUAUUCACCUCGUAUCAUCUUAUGACUCC
rnacentral:lncRNA from 1 species